GCCGUGGCCAGAGGCACCAGGCCAGCACCGGCACUCUGCUAUGUCUAGCAGAGUAAAAUGCACUAGGAGGAGAAGAGCUGCAUUUCUCACAAUACCACGUUUUGGGGGACUUGGAACUGUGAGAGCCAACAAACACCAGGAGGUGUGCGACAAACCACGGACGCUCUCUACACCUGCCAGUAGCCCCAGCAGAUCCACGCCAACACAUGGGCAGGUUUCUCAACGUUUCUUCUGAAUGCCCAGAAGCCAAGAAGGCAGCCUGCAUUUCAGCAGUUAUAUGUGAAUGAAACAACUCCAGCUCACUGCAGUUAGUAUGAACAGGAAUUCAUUUGGAUGCACGGAAUGCUGUAACUGAUAUUUGGAAAAAAACCCAAGCAAGAACUUAGGAAACAAAACCUGUUUCCACUGCAGUCUGAUUCAGGACAUUCCUUCCUCUGUAACCUAUCCAAGCAAAAAGUCUACAGCAUAUGCUCAGGUUAUUCUGGAAAAAUCAGUUAGAAACAAAAUGAGCAGCAGCGGUGGUGUGUUGCCAGCCACGGCGUCGGUUCUGUAACCUAGCAAGAGAAGCCAGAGAGCUGUCAACAUCUUGUGCUCCAUCUGCGGCAUCAGAAAGUUACAAUCGCAGGAAAGCCAGGGCAUUGAGCCACAGGGAGGGAAGGCGGAAAGAAUGAACAGCUUCUUCAUAGUUGACCAGUAAUAUAGCGUAAACAAACUGAAUGAGCACGUGAAGAAGUUUGUUGGUGUUUUGUAAGGCGCAAAAAUGUACUCUUUGACAGAGGCUAUAUUGCUGCCCUCUGCUGCUGGGAACUUGUGCGGUUCAUCGGCCUAAUGAGCAGAAAAACGGGCUGUUUGCGAUAAAAGGCUCUGACCACACAUAACAGCACUGCGCCCAGGAGCCUCGAGAUACGUAGGUCAGAAGUGAAGAGAGGGUGAGCUCCUGGAGUCUGUGGGAGGCAGGGGACAGCAGCCCUCUGCCCUCUAAGACCAGCUGGGGUGGGCUGACCCGCAUCAGUAGCGUUACCCGGCUCCAUCAGUAGCCUUCCCGGGGCUCGCUUCUGCCCACAGCCAGGUAUUCAAGACGAUCUGCCAUCCAUGUGCCAAUGCAGCCUGACUUGGAAUAGUUCCGUAUUUAAAUUGCUCCCAAACCAUCAGGAAUCACCAUCCCUCACCAGCAGUGGAAAAGGGUGGACCUGGCUGUUGUAGGAAACCUCCAUGCUCUGUUCCAAGUUCUUGGAAAGAAUGUGGUGUCUGCCCAGGAGCUCAAAUGAAGCUGGCUGCACACAUGGCCGUUUCCAGGACAUCUUCCAAAUUCAGUGUUUCUCUGGCCGGUACAGGGUAGUUUCGUGCAUCUUCCAGCACCAGCUGAACCAACCCUUCCGCGCAGGCAGCCAGCCAACCCCAUCUUGCUCCCACCUCUCCACCUCGCUGCCACCCCUGCCAGCUGUUCCAGUGGCAGACCAAGCUGCGCAAAGCUACCGGUUACUCAGGUCUCCUCUCCUGGUACUAAAGCAAAGCGUGCAAAGAGCUGCUGGCUUCUCAGCGAUACACACUGCCAGCUUCAACCCAUCAAAAACCAACCAAAACCAAACCAGCGCACACGGUCCAACAGGCCACCAGACGCCGCCAAAGCCAAGGAGCCAGGGCCACCCAGCGCUUCGCCAGCUGCCCAGG